GGGCAAGUGGCGGAAUUGGUAGACGCACCACACUCAAAAUGUGGCGACUUCGGUUGUGAGAGUUCGAGUCUCUCCUUGCCCA
rfam:Synechococcus sp. PCC 7335 scf_1103496006895 genomic scaffold, whole genome shotgun sequence.